rfam:Oryza sativa (indica cultivar-group) chromosome 6, whole genome shotgun sequence.
CACCGCCCGUCGCUCCUACCGAUUGAAUGGUCCGGUGAAGUGUUCGGAUCGCGGCGACGGGGGCGGUUCGCCGCCCCCGACGUCGCGAGAAGUCCAUUGAACCUUAUCAUUUAGAGGAAGGAGAAGUCGUAACAAGGUUUCCGUAGGUGAACCUGCGGAAG